rnacentral:rRNA from 1 species
AGUGAACGCUGGCGGUAGGCCUAACACAUGCAAGUCGAACGGCAGCACAGUAAGAGCUUGCUCUUACGGGUGGCGAGUGGCGGACGGGUGAGGAAUACAUCGGAAUCUACUUUUUCGUGGGGGAUAACGUAGGGAAACUUACGCUAAUACCGCAUACGACCUACGGGUGAAAGCAGGGGAUCUUCGGACCUUGCGCGAUUGAAUGAGCCGAUGUCGGAUUAGCUAGUUGGCGGGGUAAAGGCCCACCAAGGCGACGAUCCGUAGCUGGUCUGAGAGGAUGAUCAGCGACACUGGAACUGAGACACGGUCCAGACGCCUACGGGAGGCAGCAGUGGGGAAUAUUGGACAAUGGGCGCAAGCCUGAUCCAGCCAGACCGCGUGGGUGAAGAAGGCGUUCGGGUUGUAAAGCCCUUUUGUUGGGAAAGAAAAGCAGCAGGUUAAGACCCCGCUGUUCUGACGGUACCGAAAGAAUAAGCACCGGCUAACUUCGUG